rnacentral:rRNA from 1 species
CACCUUCGGGUUGUGAGGUUAAGCGACUAAGCGUACACGGUGGAUGCCUAGGCAGUCAGAGGCGAUGAAGGGCGUGCUAAUCUGCGAAAAGCGUCGGUAAGGUGAUAUGAACCGUUAUACCCGACGAUACCCGAAUGGGGAAACCCGGA